UCCUAUUAAAGCGAGACGGGUUCGCUAUGAACCCCGGCCUGAAAACCACUUCGGUGGCGGGAUGGACGGGUGGAAUGCGGAAAACCGGGCGUGGAGAAGGCACAGUUCACCUGAGUGCCCGGUGGCGUUCGCGCGCCGCCGCAAAUGCGAAAUGGCUCUCAGGAAGCGAGGGGCGAAAGCCGGGCGAGAGCCCAGCCAAGAACCGCUCCGAGCUGACUCAUGAACGUGAUAGAGACACUUCAGGCAACCCUUCGGGGAAGCUUGGCAGACCGUCUCAUUCGCCGGACUGGUCCGGUUGCGGUUCCUUCGGGAAUCGGGACUGAGUCAGAAGCUCAAGCCUGUUUCGAGCUUGAGUGGAAAAGUAGUUGCCCAGAGGGUAUUGGUUGCCUACUACAAAAGUUGGCACGGCAGGAAUCCAAAAUUGGCCGGCAACGGUCAGCCAGACGAAAUCCUCCGAAAGGAGGGACAAAGCUGGGGUUCCCGUCGGGAUAGCCACGAGCCCAAGACAACGGCCGUGAAAACUAUCCGGCAAGGUGGCGAUGCAAAAACUGCAGCGCUGUCAUGUGAACGAAAUGGCAACCUGAGGGGUAAGAGGCGAGACCCGUGGCACGGGCCAACGCGCCGCCAAAAGCGGUGGCCGACCUUGUGUCCGAUGGCUUGGAUGUGAUGGUUCACUUCCGCGUCCAAGCCUGGUCCGCAGGUCAGUGGCCGCAAUCACUGGCUGAAGCGGGCAGAUAAACCUCACCCAAUAAUUCAAGCGCCGUAAGGCCUUGGACGGCCCUGCUAUGAGGCCGACAACUCCGCGAGUCACGGGGAAUGGCGUCGGGGAGCAAUCAACCUGCUUGCAGGUGCCUAAUGGUUGUAUCUGGUAAAGAGCGUGUGGCGAGCGCC
rnacentral:sRNA from 12 species